AUCUUUGCACUCGGGGCAGUGACGCAGCUAGUGAGGUUCUAACCGAGGUGUGUCUAUUGCUGGUAACUGUAAAAUUGUAAUUUAUAACUAUUUUAUGUUGGCUUUAAUUUCAUGCCAAAUUUUAUUGUAAUUUCUUCAAUCAUAUUUCCCUAUAUG